rnacentral:rRNA from 1 species
UACGGGGGGGGCAAGCGUUGUUCGGAAUUACUGGGCGUAAAGGGCUCGUAGGCGGCCAACUAAGUCAGACGUGAAAUCCCUCGGCUUAACCGGGGAACUGCGUCUGAUACUGGAUGGCUCGAGUUUGGGAGAGGGAUGCGGAAUUCCAGGUGUAGCGGUGAAAUUCGUAGAUAUUCGGAAGAACACCAGUGGCGAAGGCGACUUACUGGACACAUAUUGACGCUGAGGUGCGAAAGCGUGGGGAGCAAACAGG